rnacentral:rRNA from 1 species
UACGUAGGGACCGAGCGUUGUCCGGAAUCAUUGGGCGUAAAGAGCGUGUAGGCGGCCUUUUAAGUCCUGCGUGAAAUCCUGCGGCUCAACCGCAGACGGUCGUGGGAAACUGGAAGGCUAGAGUGCGGGAGAGGAGAGUGGAAUUCCCGGUGUAGCGGUGAAAUGCGCAGAUAUCGGGAGGAACACCGGCGGUGUAGACGGCUUUCUGGACCGUAGCUGACGCUGAGACACGAAAGCGUGGGUAGCAAACAGG